GAUGAACGCUGGCGGCGUGCCUAAUACAUGCAAGUCGAGCGAACGGACGAGAAGCUUGCUUCUCUGAUGUUAGCGGCGGACGGGUGAGUAACACGUGGAUAACCUACCUAUAAGACUGGGAUAACUUCGGGAAACCGUAGCUAAUACCGGAUAAUAUUUUGAACCGCAUGGUUCAAAAGUGAAAGACGGUCUUGCUGUCACUUAUAGAUGGAUCCGCGCUGCAUUAGCUAGUUGGUAAGGUAACGGCUUACCAAGGCAACGAUGCAUAGCCGACCUGAGAGGGGGAUAGGCCACCCUGGAACUGAGACACGGUCCAGACGCCUACGGGAGGCAGCAGUAGGGAAUCUUCCGCAAUGGGCGAAAGCCUGACGGAGCAACGCCGCGUGAGUGAUGAAGGUCUUCGGAUCGUAAAACUCUGUUAUUAGGGAAGAACAUAUGUGUAAGUAACUGUGCACAUCUUGACGGUACCUAAUCAGAAAGCCACGGCUAACUACGUG
rnacentral:rRNA from 1 species